ACUUCCUUUGUGGAGAAGCCUGGAUGAGUUGAAGAGGUGUUCCCCUGGUCCCAGGGAUUCUAAUGGUUCCACUAAAAGAAGCAUGGGAAUGCCCUACACCUGCUGUUAUUCCUGCUUCCUUCCCACUUUUUCAUCUUUCAAGGUAAUCGUUAAUCUAAUCCCACAACAAACAUCACCAUAUUACUCCAGGUUGUUCUGGGCAUCAGGGAUCCAAGUGUAAAUGAGAGAGACUCAGUCUCUGCCAUCAUGGAUCUCAUGGUCACAUCUCAAAUGAGACCAAAAUGCCAUCCCCAUGUCCACAGGCAUGGGAGGACUAACUCUCGCACUCUAGCCUUGGAGCCUAUUGCUAUUCCACUAGGAAUAGCUGCUCCUUCUUCCUACCAACCCAUGUCUGGCUCACGUGAUCGCCAGAGUCCAGCUUGAAGUAGAUUUCUACCAGAGGUCCUUCCCUGAUCACUGCCCUAGGCCACUCCACUUAGCUGCCUCUAUGCUGCACCCACUGGGGAUUCAAGUGUUUCCGGGACACACUGGGUCCUUCAGUUGCUAUAAUGAUUGUAGGUUUCUUAGCUUGAUAGGAGGUUCUAACAGACCUGAAAUCUGUUUUGCUCCCUACCUUUAUGACUGUGCCUGAUGUAACAAGUACUGUUUGUUUGUUGCCCACACGAAUCUAUUGCCCUCUUCCUGGCCAGUAGAAACCAAUUUUGUUUCCAUAUUGACACUUUCCUCUGAGGCCUUCUGCUGAGGACGGGUGACUUUAUCUCUAGCCAC
rnacentral:lncRNA from 1 species